UCGAACGAGUUCUUGUUGAUGAUCGGUGCUUGCACCAAGAUUCAACAUGCCACUAGUGGCGGACGGGUGAGUAACACGUGGGUAACCUGCCCUUAAGUGGGGGAUAACAUUUGGAAACAGAUGCUAAUACCGCAUAGAUCCAAGAACCGCAUGGUUCUUGGCUGAAAGAUGGCGUAAGCUAUCGCUUUUGGAUGGACCCGCGGCGUAUUAGCUAGUUGGUGAGGUAAUGGCUCACCAAGGCGAUGAUACGUAGCCGAACUGAGAGGUUGAUCGGCCACAUUGGGACUGAGACACGGCCCAAACUCCUACGGGAGGCAGCAGUAGGGAAUCUUCCACAAUGGACGCAAGUCUGAUGGAGCAACGCCGCGUGAGUGAAGAAGGCUUUCGGGUCGUAAAACUCUGUUGUUGGAGAAGAAUGGUCGGCAGAGUAACUGUUGUCGGCGUGACGGUAUCCAACCAGAAAGCCACGGCUAACUACGUGCCAGCAGCCGCGGUAAUACGUAGGUGGCAAGCGUUAUCCGGAUUUAUUGGGCGUAAAGCGAGCGCAGGCGGUUUUUUAAGUCUGAUGUGAAAGCCCUCGGCUUAACCGAGGAAGCGCAUCGGAAACUGGGAAACUUGAGUGCAGAAGAGGACAGUGGAACUCCAUGUGUAGCGGUGAAAUGCGUAGAUAUAUGGAAGAACACCAGUGGCGAAGGCGGCUGUCUGGUCUGUAACUGACGCUGAGGCUCGAAAGCAUGGGUAGCGAACAGGAUUAGAUACCCUGGUAGUCCAUGCCGUANACGAUGAAUGCUAGGUGUUGGAGGG
rnacentral:rRNA from 1 species